GUCCUGCAUGGCAGGCGGGCGCGCUAGCUUCAGGAGCUAGUGGCCGCAAGGCCCUGCAGGUUCGAUUCCUGUUCUGGGCACUA
rnacentral:tRNA from 1 species